AUGCUUGCUUCAACCGCACAUAUCUAAUAUUGAAAUGAUACAGAGAAGAUUAGCAUGGCUCCAGCACAAAGAUGACAUGCAAAUUCAUGAAGUAUUCCAUAUUAAA
rnacentral:snRNA from 1 species